rnacentral:rRNA from 1 species
AUUGAACGCUGGCGGCAGGCCUAACACAUGCACGUCGAGCGGAGCGGCGGACGGGUGAGUCAUGCCUAGGAAUCUGCCUGGUCGUGGGGGAUAACGUCCGGCAACGGGCGCUAAUACCGCAUACUAUCAGAUGAGCCUAGGUCGGAUUAGCUAGUGGGUGGGGUAAAGGCUUACCAAGGCGACGAUCCGUAACUGGUCUUAGAGGAUGAGCAGUCACGCUGGAACUGAGGCACGGUCCAGACGCCUACGGGAGGCAGCAGUGGGGAAGAUUGGACAAUGGGCGAAAGGCUUAUCCAGCCAUGCCGGGUGUGGGAAGAAGGUCUUCGGAUUGUAAAGCACUUUCAGUUGGGAGGCGUUACCAACAGAAGAAGCACCGGCUAAGUCCGUGCCAGCAGCCGCGGUAAUAC